UACAGAGGUCUCAAGCGUUGUUCGGAUUCAUUGGGCGUAAAGGGUUCGUAGGCGGCGCGGUAAGUCGGGUGUGAAAUCUUGGAGCUUAACUCCGAAACUGCAUUCGAUACUGCGGUGCUUGAGGACUGGAGAGGAGACUGGAAUUCAUGGUGUAGCAGUGAAAUGCGUAGAUAUCAUGAGGAAGACCAGUGGCGAAGGCGGGUCUCUGGACAGUUCCUGACACUGAGGCACGAAGGCCAGGGGAGCAAACGGG
rnacentral:rRNA from 1 species